rnacentral:rRNA from 1 species
UACAGAGGUCCCAAGCGUUGUUCGGAUUCACUGGGCGUAAAGGGUGCGUAGGUGGCGGCGCAAGUUUGAUGUGAAAUCUCCGGGCUUAACCCGGAAAAUGCAUUGAAUACUGCGUUGCUGGAGGUUUGGAGGGGGGACUGGAAUUCUCGGUGUAGCGGUGAAAUGCGUAGAUAUCGAGAGGAACACCAGUGGCGAAGGCGGGUCCCUGGACAACACCUGACGCUGAGGCGCGAAAGCUAGGGGAGCAAACAGG